rnacentral:rRNA from 1 species
UACGAAGGGGGCUAGCGUUGCUCGGAAUCACUGGGCGUAAAGGGUGCGUAGGCGGGUCUUUAAGUCAGGGGUGAAAUCCUGGAGCUCAACUCCAGAACUGCCUUUGAUACUGAGGAUCUUGAGUUCGGGAGAGGUGAGUGGAACUGCGAGUGUAGAGGUGAAAUUCGUAGAUAUUCGCAAGAACACCAGUGGCGAAGGCGGCUCACUGGCCCGAUACUGACGCUGAGGCACGAAAGCCAGGGGAGCAAACGGG